rnacentral:rRNA from 1 species
UACGUAGGGAGCGAGCGUUGUUCGGAAUUACUGGGCGUAAAGAGUGUGUAGGCGGUGCUCUAAGUUCGGUGUGAAAUCUCCUGGCUCAACUGGGAGGGUGCGGCGGAAACUGGAGUGCUUGAGCGUGGGAGAGGAAAGCGGAAUUCCUGGUGUAGCGGUGAAAUGCGUAGAUAUCAGGAGGAACACCUGUGGUGAAGACGGCUUUCUGGACCAUAGCUGACGCUGAGACACGAAAGCGUGGGUAGCAAACAGG